rnacentral:rRNA from 1 species
UGCCCUAGUAACGGCGAGUGAAGCGGCAACAGCUCAAAUUUGAAAUCUGGCGUCUUUGGCGUCCGAGUUGUAAUUUGCAGAGGGCGCUUUGGCAUUGGCAGCGGUCCAAGUUCCUUGGAACAGGACGUCACAGAGGGUGAGAAUCCCGUACGUGGUCGCUAGCCUUUACCGUGUAAAGCCCCUUCGACGAGUCGAGUUGUUUGGGAAUGCAGCUCUAAAUGGGAGGUAAAUUUCUUCUAAAGCUAAAUACUGGCCAGAGACCGAUAGCGCACAAGUAGAGUGAUCGAAAGAUGAAAAGCACUUUGGAAAGAGAGUUAAAAAGCACGUGAAAUUGUUGAAAGGGAAGCGCUUGCAGCCAGACUUGCCUGUAGUUGCUCAUCCGGGUUUUUACCCGGUGCACUCUUCUACGGGCAGGCCAGCAUCAGUUUGGGCGGUUGGAUAAAGGUCUCUGUCAUGUACCUCCUCUCGGGGAGAUCUUAUAGGGGAGACGACAUGCAACCAGCCUGGACUGAGGUCCGCGCAUCUGCUAGGAUGCUGGCGUAAUGGCUGUAAGCGGCCCGUCUUGAAACACGGACCAAGGAGUCUAACAUCUAUGCGAGUGUUUGGGUGUCAAGCCCGAACGCGUAAUGAAAGUGAACGGAGGUGGGAACCUUUCGGGGUGCACCAUCGACCGAUCCUGAUGUCUUCGGAUGGAUUUGAGUAAGAGCAUAGCUGUUGGGACCCGAAAGAUGGUGAACUAUGCUUGAAUAGGGUGAAGCCAGAGGAAACUCUGGUGGAGGCUCGCAGCGGUUCUGACGUGCAAAUCGAUCGUCAAAUUUGGGCAUAGGGGCGAAAGACUAAUCGA